rnacentral:rRNA from 1 species
CCUACGGGAGGCAGCAGUGGGGGAUAUUGCACAAUGGGGGGAACCCUGAUGCAGCGACGCCGCGUGGGUGAAGGAGUGCUUCGGCAUGUAAAGCCCUAUCGGCAGGGAAGAAGCAAGACGGUACCUGACUAAGAAGCCCCGGCUAACUACGGGCCAGCAGCCGCGGUAAUACGGAGGGGGCGAGCGUUAUCCGGAUUCACUGGGUGUAAAGGGAGCGUAGACGGCCAUGCAAGCCAGGGGUGAAAGCCCGGGGCCCAACCCCGGGACUGCCCUUGGAACUGUGCGGCUAGAGUGCGGGAGGGGCAGGCGGAAUUCCUGGUGUAGCGGUGAAAUGCGUAGAUAUCAGGAGGAACACCAGCGGCGAAGGCGGCCUGCUGGACUGCGACUGACGUUGAGGCUCGAAAGCGUGGGGAGCGAACAGGAUUAGAUACCCUUGUAGUC